AAUCAACGCUGGCGGCGUGCCUCAGACAUGCAAGUCGAACGAUUAAGACUUCCUUCGGGAGGUGCAUAAAGUGGCGCACGGGUGAGUAACACGUAAGUAAUCUACCCUCGAGUGGGGAAUAACGUUCGGAAACGAACGCUAAUACCGCGUAACGCAGCGGCACCGCAAGGUAACAGUUGUUAAAGGAGCAAUCCGCUGGAGGAGGAGCUUGCGGCAGAUUAGCUAUUUGGUAAGGUAAUGGCUUACCAAGGCUACGAUCUGUAUCCGGUCUAAGAGGACGGUCGGACACACUGACACUGAAUAACGGGUCAGACUCCUACGGGAGGCAGCAGUCGGGAAUUUUGGGCAAUGGGCGAAAGCCUGACCCAGCAACGCCGCGUGAAGGAUGAAGUAUUUCGGUAUGUAAACUUCGAAAGAAUGGGAAGAAUAAAUGACGGUACCAUUUAUAAGCUCCGGCUAACUACGUGCCAGCAGCCGCCGUAAUAC
rnacentral:rRNA from 1 species